AAAGGAUUGAAAAAGGGAUAAAUGGUACCCAAAAAAAAAACCCCAAAAUCUCAAAAAUUUCAACUAAAAUCCCACCCAAAAAACCCCAAAGUUCUGUCCCAAAAAUCCCCAAAAUCCCACCCAAAAAUCCCCCAAAUUCCUCCCAAAAAAACCCAAAAUUCUGCCCCAAAAAUCCCCAAAAUCCCUUCCAAAAAACCCCAAAAUUCUGCUCCAAAAAUCCCCAAAAUUCCCACAAAAAACCCCAAAAUUCUGCCCCAAAAUCCCCCAAAAUCCCUCCCCAAAAUCUUCCAAAUUCCUCCCAAAAAAACCCCAAAAUUCUGCUCCAAAAAUCCCCAAAAUCCCUCCCAAAAAAAUCCCAAAUCCCACCCAAAAACCCCAAAAUUCUGCACCAAAAAUCCCCAAAAUUCCCACAAAAAACCCCAAAAUCCCUCCCAAAAAACCCCAAAUUCUUCCCAAAAUUCCCAAAAUUCUGCUCCAAAAAUCUCCAAAAUCCCUCCCAAAAAACCCCAAAAUUCUGCCCAAAAAUCCCCAAAAUCCCUCCCAAAAAUCCCCAAAAUCCCUCCCAAAAAAAUCCAACAUCCCUCCCAAAAAACCCAAAAUUCCCACAACAAAAAUCCCCCAAUUCCCACCCAAAAUUCCCAAAAUUCUGCUCCAAAAAUCCCAAAAUUCCUCCCCAAAAAACCCCAAAAUCCCUCCCAAAAAAACCCAAAAUUCUGCCCAAAAAACCCCAAAUCCCACCCAAAAAACCCCAAAAUUCCCACAACAAAAAUCCCCCAAAUCCCACCCCAAAAUCCAAAAAAUUCCACCCAAAAUCCCUUCCAAAAAGCCCCAAAAUUCUGCUCCAAAAAUCCCCAAAAUCCCUCCCAAAAAAAUCCCAAAAUUCCUCCCCAAAAAACCCCGAAAUCCCUUCCAAAAAAACCCAAAAUUCUGCCCCAAAAAUCCCCCAAAUCCCUCCCAAAAAUCCCCAAAAUUCUGUCCCAAAAAUCCCCAAAAUCCCUCCCAAAAAACCCCAAAAUUCUGCCCAAAAAUCCCCCAAAUCCCUCCCAAAAAACCCAAAAUUCCCACAAAAAAAAUCCCCCAAAUCCCUCCCAAAAUCCCAAAA
rnacentral:lncRNA from 1 species